CGUGAACGCUGGCGGUAGGCCUAACAUAUGCAAGUCGAACGGCAGCACAGUAAGAGCUUGCUCUUACGGGUGGCGAGUGGCGGACGGGUGAGGAAUACAUCGGAAUCUACUUUUUCGUGGGGGAUAACGUAGGGAAACUUACGCUAAUACCGCAUACGACCUACGGGUGAAAGCAGGGGAUCUUCGGACCUUGCGCGAUUGAAUGAGCCGAUGUCGGAUUAGCUAGUUGGCGGGGUAAAGGCCCACCAAGGCGACGAUCCGUAGCUGGUCUGAGAGGAUGAUCAGCCACACUGGAACUGAGACACGGUCCAGACUCCUACGAGAGGCAGCAGUGGGGAAUAUUGGACAAUGGGCGCAAGCCUGAUCCAGCCAUACCGCGUGGGUGAAGAAGGCCUUCGGGUUGUAAAGCCCUUUUGUUGGGAAAGAAAAGCAGCAGGUUAAUACCCCGCUGUUCUGACGGUACCCAAAGAAUAAGCACCGGCUAACUUCGCG
rnacentral:rRNA from 1 species